CUCGCCCGCCCCCCAGUCGUCCAAGCCGCGCGCCAUCUGGUUACCCGGACCGAGAGCGGAGCGGAGCAAGCCGCGGGCGCCCAUGCGCCUUCCCGCCGCGCUCUCCGCUGGAUGGACCCCGACGCCGCCUUCGGAGAAGCCCGGAGGAGCCUGGAUGAGGUGCCCGCCAAGAGCAUGGACAGCUUGCUGAGCUCGCCGACGGCCUUCCCGGGCGGCGGCCACUGCAGGAACGUGACCCUGGGCGGCCUCAGCCCGACGAUGCACGGUUCCGCUUACCCCGCUCCGGCCCUGGACGGCCCUCCUCCCUCCGGCCCCGGAGACGCGUCGACAAAGCAAUGCAUUCCGUGCCCGGCCAUCCCGCAGGCAUCCUCGACGACCAGCGCCUCGCCCUUCUCCUGCGGAUAUUUCGGCGGUGCCUACUGCUCCUACCGAGUGGCCCGCGGUUCCCUCAAGCCGUGCCCCGCGCCGCCUCAGCCCGGCUACCCGACGGCGGCGGAGAAGUACCUGGACGCCUGCAGCUCGGCGCCCGCCGCCGCGGCUCCCGAGGAGUACCAGACGCGCCCAGCCGAGUUCGCCUUCUACCCGGGUUACGCGGCGGGGCCUUACCAGCCGAUGGCCAGCUACCUGGACGUUUCGGUAGUACAGACCAUCGGAGGGCCUCCUGGCGACGCCAGGCACGAAGCGCUCCUGCCCGUGGACCCUUACCACGAACCCUGGGCCUUGGCCGGGGGAUGGAACAACCAAAUGUGUUGUCCAAAAGAUCAAAGCCCAGCAGGACACUUUUGGAAAACUGCUUUCGCAGAAGCUGUAGGCCAGCACCCUCCGGAGGGGUGUACCUUCCGCCGGGGGCGCAAGAAGAGGAUCCCUUACAGCAAAGGGCAGCUGAAAGAGCUGGAGAAGGAAUACUCCAACAGCAAGUUCAUCACCAAGGACAAGAGGAGAAAGAUCUCCGCCGCCACCAACCUCACCGAGAGACAGAUCACCAUUUGGUUCCAGAACCGCAGGGUCAAGGAGAAGAAGGUCGUGGCCAAGGUCAAAGGCACCAGUGCGCCCGCGCCCGCGCCUGCCACCACCAACAGCAGCGGCGCCGGCAGCGCCAGCAGCACCCCGUGAGACGCAGGGACAGACUCUCGGAGGAGGAAUCCAUGGAAAGGCGGCGGGAAAGAAGCUCCCCCCGCGAGGAAGGGAGGGGGGAAUUAACGCAGGCUUCUCUGCUGCCUCCCCAAAGCCUUGCGGGAACAGGAGAUGGUGGGGGGAAGGAGGCCGCGGGCGGAGGAGGAGGAGGAGAAGGGAGGAGGAAACGAGUGCAGCAUUACGCACGUGGACGCUUCAAUGGCUUCUCAGCUCUCCAACCUCCCACCGUCUCCCUUCUCCGCCUCGGUGGAAGCCCACGAAAUUCGCUUAGCGCUGGCGUGGCUGGCGGCCUCUCCUAGCCUCUCUCCUUUAAAAAAAAAAAGUUAAUUAUCGUCGUUGUUAUUGUUAUUGCUCCAAUAAGUUAAAACCCGAUUUGCAAAGCAGACGGUGUUUUUUUUAUUUUAUUUUUAAGCGAUGCGUUGUUGUUAUUGUUUUUAUUAUUUUAUUAUGGGGGGAGCUGGGAAGGGAGAAGGAACCGUGUGCAAUUUGCAAUUCAUUUUUAUGUGUUGGUUUUUUUCGGGGGGAGGGGCGUUGCCGCCUUAGCGCCAUUGCUAUGCGAAUUAUAUUCUAUUUUUCUUUGUACCAAGUUCCGUAAUUCAGAGCUGCUUUAGGGGGUGGGGGGGGGAAAGACGAAAAUAAAACCAAGAAAACGACAACUGCCUAUCAAUCGAACCGAAUGUUAAAUAAAUUCUCCAUAAGCACCACGAUGGCUCGGCUUGCUUUCGGUUCCGUUUGUCUGUUCGUCGAAUGGGAACAUUUUGCAGAAGCGAAGGAACAGACUGUUCUUUCAUCUGUGUGAAAUAUUGAUAGGAAUUUUUACCACGAAGAAAAUCUAUUACACAUACAUACAUACAACAUAAUCUAUGUUUUAGGGGACUUGUAAAUUUGAGAGGUUAUAAUCUUUAUUAAAAUCUCAGCAUUGCAUAUGACGAAAUUAAUAUUUUAGAAUGGCUUGUAUGUAUACGUAUAUGUAUGUAUGUAUGUAUGUGUAUAUAAGCUAACCACCGAUUGACGAUUUUUUUUGGGGGGGGUUGAUUAAUCAUAUGACAAUGAUCCCUUUAUCGAUUGCAUUUAAAUGAAUUUGAGUACUACCAAAAGUUAAUAAGUGCCUUGGAAGACACUGAACGGUACGCUAGAGAAUUUACAAUACAGCAAACCGAUAGUUGCAAGGGGAAGUCAACUUUAAAUGUUUUAUUUUUCAUUCCCUAUUUACCACUCCAGAAAAAGGACUUCCCUUCAAGCCCAGUCCCACGGAUUAAAAACCUGCUCCAUCCGCUAAAGCGUGGAGGCCUAUUUUGCUUGUCUGUAUAAAAUACAAUGGAACAUAAAGUACUGAAACCAUAUAUGCGCACUCAGAACGGGGGCAAAUCGUUUUGAAUCCAGCGAAUCUUGUUGGAAAGUAAAUAUGGAUGGGUAAAUUAUAACGUUGUAAAUUGUUUUGGAUGUUGCCUACUAUUAUUGACGUCCUGCUCCUUAGCUACAUAAAAUUGGGAGCUAGUUCUCUAGAUGAAUUGGUUUAGAAUCUGGGUAAUUAAAGGGGAGUUUGUGCGUGGGAGGGGACGGUGAGAGGAGGACCCGGAAGCAGACGCUUCUCCUAGUGCCAGUGCAUAGCACGAGGGUAGCCAACAGGGCGCCCUCUCCAUGAUGUUGGACUCGGACUCCCAUCAGCCUCAGGCAGUCCAGCCUAUAGCCAGGGAUCAUGGGAGUUGUAGUCCAGCAGCAUUUGAAGGCCACUACCUUGGCUACCCCUGGUUUAGUCAAUACUAAUAGUGCGGUGACUGUAGGUCCUUAAAGAAAUUAUUUAUCCGGGGCGUGUGAUGAGACUUUAGUUCAGAAUCUCAUGAUUCUCUAGAGGAGAAGGGGGGGGGGGAGCUUUUCGAAAUCGAAGAAAAUACAGCCAGGCCUACACUUUGUUUACACUCCUGUACUAACCGUGCAAUCCUACACAGAAGUAAACCACUUUGAGAUCAGUGGGACUUACUUCCAAGUAACUGUGUGUUUAGGACUGCAGCUUUUACUAUAAUUUUGAAGCAACUUCCACUGAAAUCAAUGUGCCUUACUUGGGGGGGGGGGGUAUUUCUAAUCAAAGGAAAUUCUUUCGCAGAACAUGGGUUGUUUCAGCAUGAUUUUGGUACUGUUCAAGCCCCCACAAUCUGAUUCUGGUGCUUAGAAGUAACCACCCACUGAUUUCAAUGCAGCUUGCUCAUAGGAGUGUCUUAUGUUCAUCAGUUGUCUGUUUAUUAUUAUUAGUGUUAUUAUUUGUACUUAUAUACGCAUGUAUAUAAUUUAUUCUGAAUGCCACAGAGAUUGCAUAAGCAGUGCUCAUUAUCUGAC
rnacentral:lncRNA from 1 species